CAGCUGUAUAUUUGAAAUUAUAGUGAACAUCAUUAUGGAAUAUUCACCAGCUAUGAAUAACAUAUGUGGUCCUAGAUUUGCCGCAUGUGAGAACGUACGUAGAUAAAAGAUGUUACAAGCUGGCAGUAAUAAACGAUUCAGCUGUACAUUUGAAAUUAUAGUGAACAUCAUUAUGGAAUAUUCACCAGCU